rnacentral:rRNA from 1 species
UACGAAGGGGGCUAGCGUUGCUCGGAAUGACUGGGCGUAAAGGGCGCGUAGGCGGUUUGUACAGUCAGGUGUGAAAUUCCCGGGCUCAACCUGGGGGCUGCACUUGAUACGUAGGAACUGGAGUGGGGAAGAGGGUCGUGGAAUUCCCAGUGUAGAGGUGAAAUUCGUAGAUAUUGGGAAGAACACCGGUGGCGAAGGCGGCGACCUGGUCCUUGACUGACGCUGAGGCGCAAAAGCGUGGGGAGCAAACAGG